UACAUGGGGGGCAAGCGUUGUUCGGAAUUACUGGGCGUAAAGGGUUCGUAGGUGGCCAACUAAGUCAGACGUGAAAUCCCUCAGCUUAACUGGGGAACUGCGUCUGAAACUGGUUGGCUUGAGUGCAGGAGAGGAAUGCGGAAUUCCAGGUGUAGCGGUGAAAUGCGUAGAUAUCUGGAGGAACACCGGUGGCGAAGGCGGCAUUCUGGACUGUAACUGACGCUGAGGAGCGAAAGCCAGGGGAGCAAACGGG
rnacentral:rRNA from 1 species